rnacentral:lncRNA from 1 species
UUUAAAUGGCCUAAUCUAUAAUGCCAUAAAUAAGAAAAUUCAACCAUAUAAGCAAAACAACAGUCUUAUUCUUAUUAUUAUUAAUAACAUUUAGUUUGAACAUUCCCUUACGCAUGUAACCUUCCCCGACAAAUAUUCUUUUUUUGGACAGAAUGAAUUUAUUUGCCUCAAAUACAAGUUUGAAACCAAACUUAUUCAAUAGUGUCACGACCCAGAACUUCUAUCGGGCCGGUGACAACCGUCGCGACAUCUCGAUAGGCACUCAUUACCCCGAAUGCCGAUCGAAAUCCCGCAAGGCUUAGCAUCAGCUUCCGCAUCUCCCCGGUGAGCGACUGUUAUUAAAUCACGCAUUUCAAGAAAUUAUAAGUCGUUUUCAAAUCAAAAUAAUAAAAUAUUAUUUUCU